GUUAAAAAGCUCGUAGUUGGGAAUCUGAUGGGAACUGAUGCUCCGCCCUUUGUGACGUGUAGUCAUCACAAAUUCGUCAUUUGCUUGGGGAUUGUAGGGCACUUCAUUGUGCAAUGCACUAUCCAGGACAUUUACUUUGAGGAAAUAAGAGUGUUUCACGCAAGCCACAGCCAUGAAUAUGUUAGCAUGGAAUGAUAGUAUCGGACCUCGAUCUGAAGCUGUUGGUUGAUUUGAUCGAAGUAAAGGUGAACAGGGAUUGUUGGGGGCAUUCGUAUUUGACUGUCAGAGGUGAAAUUCUUGGAUUUGUUGAAGACGAACCACUGCGAAAGCAUCUGCCAAAGAUGUUCUCAUUAAUCAAGAACGAAAGUUAGGUGAUCGAAGACGAUCAGAUACCGUCCUAGUCUUAACCAUAAACCAUGCCAUCUGGAGAUAGGGGAUUGUUAAUUGUUGACGUCCUCUGCAUCUUGAGAGAAAUCAGAGUCUUUGGGUUCCGGGGGGAGUAUGGUCGCAAGGCUGAAACUUAAAGGAAUUGACGGAAGGGCACCACCAGGAGUGGAGCCUGCGGCUUAAUUUGACUCAACACGGGGAAACUUACCAGGUCCAGACAUAGAGAGGAUUGACAGAUUGAUAGCUCUUUCGAGAUUCUGUGGGUGGUGGUGCAUGGCCGUUCUUAGUUGGUGGAGUGAUUUGUCUGGUUAAUUCCGUUAACGAA
rnacentral:rRNA from 1 species